rnacentral:tRNA from 1 species
GCGGAUGUGGCGGAAUUGGCAGACGCGCUAGCUUCAGGCGCUAGUGCCCUUAAAAGCGUGCAGGUUCAAGUCCUGUCAUCCGCACCA